rnacentral:lncRNA from 1 species
GUGUAUCUUGGUGUAUGACUAGAAUUUGGUACUUAGAAACUUAACAAUCAUUUUCAACAUCUUUCUGACCUGUGCAACAGGUUGUAUGGUGAGCAGGAACUUAUUAAACUGCUUCCAUGAUGAUCGGUUGACGGCUAAUAUGACCAACAUCAGCAUACCUAGAACGGACUUCUUGGCCAAGUCUUUUAAUCCACGAAAUCCAUCCACAUGAUU